AUCAUGACUCGCAGAUGACCCCUAUUGAUUUUGAGGUCACUAGGUCAAAGGUCAAGGUCACGGUGACCCAAAAUAGUAAAAUGGUUUUUGAAUGAUAACUCAAGAAAGCAUACGCCUAGGAUCAUGAAACUUCAUGGGUAGAUUGAUCAUGACUCGCAGAUGACCCCUAUUGAUUUUGAGGUCAAAGGUCAAGGUCACGGUGACCCAAAAUAGUAAAAUGGUUUCCGGAUGAUAACUCAAAAAUUCAUACGCCUAGGAUCAUGAAACUUCAUGGCUAGAUUGAUCAUGACUCGCAGAUGACCCCUAUUGAUUUUGAGGUCACUAGGUCAAAGGUCAAGGUCACGGUGACCCGAAAUAGUAAAAUGGUUUUCGGAUGAUAACUCAAGAACGCAUAUGCCUAGGAUCAUGAAACUUCACAGGUAGAUUGAUCAUUGCUCACAGAUGACCCUUAUUGAUUUUAAGGUCACAAGGUCAAGGUCACGGUGACCCGAAAUAGUAAAAUGAUUUUCGGAUGAUAACUCAAGAACGCUUUUGCCUAGGAUCAUGACACUUCAUAGGUACAUUGAUCGUGACUCACAGAUGACCCCUAUUGAUUUUCAGGUCACUAGGUCAAAGGUCAAGGUCACAGUGACAAAAAACGUAUUCACACAAUGGCUGCCACUACAACGGACAGCCCAUAUGGGGGGCAUGCAUGUUUUACAAACAGCCCUUGUUAAAGAUUCUUUUCUAGUGUUUAGUUUAUAUUUUAAGGCUGUUUGCAAACUCGAAGUGAAAACAGCUCUAGUACAAUUUGGUAAGGACAUGACAUUGCAUAUCUGAUUUAAAAAUGUACUUUGCUGGCAACGUGUAAUUUUCAGAAAUGUCUUAGUAAGUAAGACUGUUGUUUGCAAUCAAAAGGUAUGUGCUUCAAAUCCAGGAAAAUGCAUGUUUUUUGUCCAAAUUUAUGUAAAUUCAGACAUUGUUCUGUGUAAAUAUGGGGUUUGCUUGUAGGAUCAGUCUAUUUUUAUGUCCCCCACUAUAGUAGUGGGGGACAUGUUGUUUUUGCUCUGUCGGUCUGUUGAUUGGUUGGUUGGUCUGUUUAUGCCAACUUUAACAUUUUGCAAUAACUUGCAAUAUUGAAAGUAGCAACUUGAUAUUUGGCAUGCAAAUGCAUCUCCUGAAGCUGCACAUUAUCAUUGGUGAAAGGUCAAGGUCAUCCUUCAAGGUCAGAGGUCAAAUAUAUGUGCCCUUAAUCGCUCAUUUUAUGAAUACUUUUGCAAUAUUGAAGAUAGCAACUUGAUAUUUUGCAAGCAUGUGUAUCUCAUUGAGCUGCACAUUUUGAGUGUUGAAAGGUCAAGGUCAUCCUUCAAGGUCAGAGGUCAAAUAUAUGUGGCCCAAAUCGCUUAUUGUAUUAAUACUUUUGCAAUAUUGAAGAUAGCAACUUGAAAUUUGGCAUGCAUGUGUAUCUCAUGGAGCUGCACAUUUUGAGUGUUGAAAGGUCAAAGUCAUCCUUCAAGGUCAGAGGUUAAAUAUAUGUGGCCCAAAUCGCUUAUUUUAUGAAUACGUUUGCACUAUUGAAGAUAGCAACUUGAUAUUUGGCAUGCAUAUGCUCAUAGAGCUGCACAUUUUGAGUGGUGAAAGGUCAAGGUCAUCCUUCAAGGUCAAAUAUAUGGGUCAAAAUUGCUCAUGUUAUGUUACUUCUGCAAUAUUGAAGCUAGCAAUUUUAUAUUUGACAUGCAUGUGUAUCUCAUGGAGCUGCACAUUUUGAGUGGUGAAGGGUCAAGGUCAUCCUUCAAGGUCAAACGUUAUAAACGGGGACAUUGGGUUUCACAAACGCAUCUUGUUGUGUAUGUAAUUAAUUUUGCUUAAUUUUUGUGAUCCCCCGCCAACAGCGGAGGGAUAUUAAUUUGGCAUUGUCCGUCUUUCCGUCUGUCCGUCCGGCACUUUUGUGUCCGGAACCAUAUUUUGGAAGUGCUUUGGCAGAUUUCAUUGAAACUUGGUAUGAGUAUAUAUAUAUAUGGAUAAGAGGAUGAUGCACGCCAAAUGGCAUUGUACAUCCUUGAAUAAUAGCGGAGUUAUGACCCUUUGUAUUUGAAAAAAAUGCUUUUUUUGUGUGUCCAGAGCCAUAACUUGUAUCCAGAAGUAUAAUGGCGGGGGAUAUCAAUUCAACGAAUUUGCUUGUUAAAUCAGUUUUUAUUUUCAUGAUAAUCAUUUAGUUCGUACUGCAACUUAUGAUGGAUUGUUACUACUAUCUCCAAUUAUGUGUUUGUCAUGGGUCCGUCACCAUUUAUCUCUUAUAUAAUACUUGAAUUGAGCAUUUCACAAUCUGACAAUCAUGCAUAUCAUUUAUUAGUUUCAUAAUAAAACGUCUGACAAGGGUCAGAUAAUUUUAA